CCUUAGAAAAAUUUGGGGUGGGGGUUGGGGACAGAACUAGAGACUUCAACUGAAUAAUGAAGAUUGGGUGUGGCUAGGAGAGGGUAUUCCCACUCCAGGCAAGGUAAAUGGUCUGUGCAAAGGCACAGAAGUAGGAAGGCUACCUCAUCUUUGGAGGACUAUAAGCAAAUAGACCCGAUCAUGGGGAAGGGUAUGUGCAGAGGAACUACGGGUAAUCAAGCUGCAUACAGCCAAUGGAGCAGAGGAGUGGAAGCCUUUGAGAGCACACAGAGGGCAAGGCCUUGAUGAGAUAACUGGGGAGUCACUGAGUUUUCUUCAGCAGGGGAGUCACCUAAAAAACAGUGGCCCAUGAGGAGAUGAAGCUGGUAGCCCUGUGCAGGAAAGCAUGGAGGCAAAACCCAUUGAGGAGCUCCUAAGGAAACCCAGGCAAUGAUGGCUUAGACUACGGUAAUGGCAAUGGGACCACGAAAGAAAAGCUCCACCGAGCCCCAGAUCCUCCAAUCAAUGGAACCAGUGAAGGAAGAGAACACAUGGUCCAGACAUCCAGGAAAAACAGAGAGAAGCUGUCAUAGAGCACCUCUCUGGGCUGAUAGCUCACCGCAGGGUGGUAGUGGGGGCAACAAGGCCUCUUCUGAUCGACCGCUGGUUUGCUGAUUUGG